UUUACUUUAGAAGUCGAUAUAACUCAAAUAGAAUUAAGUGACAAGAUAUAAAAUAAGGUUGUUUAUUUAAAAAAAUUUUUAGUUAAUGUUGAGCUUAGUUAACUGGCGGCACAUUACUCACAAAAAUGAUUUUCUUAAGAGCAUUAUUCUUGGUAAUAGUGGCUGUUAUGGGCCUUUCAGCUUUACCUUUUAAUUUAGGAAACUCACUUGGUGCGAUUUCGAAUCUAAUUGAGCAACAAGUACCAACUGAUCAGCAACAAAUUGUACUUGAAACUUUAAUAGAGGAAAUAUUGAAAGAUUAUUUAAUUGCCCUCAGAAAUAAUUCAACUCUUGGAUCUUUGUAAUCAUAUUUUGUAAUUUUGAAAAAUAUCUAAUUCAAGUUAAAGUACUUUUUAAUUGUUAAACUUAUCAAAAAUAUUUAUGUAUAAUUUUUAAAAUGUAUUAAAAAUAUAUAUAUUAUUAUUGUUCUAUUAAA